ACAGAGGCCUCAAGCGUUAGGCGGAAUCACUGGGCUUAAAGCGUGUGUAGGCGGAUCGUUAAGUGCCUUGUGAAAUCCCACGGCUUAACUGUGGAACGGCUGGGCAUACUGGCGGUCUUGAGCCAUCUAGGGGCGACUGGAACAAACGGUGGAGCGGUGAAAUGCGUAGAUAUCGGGAGGAACACCAGUGGCGAAGGCGAGUCUCUGGCCUAAUACUGACGCUGAUGCGCGAAAGCUAGGGGAGCAAACGGGA
rnacentral:rRNA from 1 species